rnacentral:rRNA from 1 species
UGGGGAAUAUUGCACAAUGGGCGCAAGCCUGAUGCAGCCAUGCCGCGUGUGUGAAGAAGGCCUUCGGGUUGUAAAGCACUUUCAGCGAGGAGGAAGGUGGUGAACUUAAUACGUUCAUCAAUUGACGUUACUCGCAGAAGAAGCACCGGCUAACUCCGUGCCAGCAGCCGCGGUAAUACGGAGGGUGCAAGCGUUAAUCGGAAUUACUGGGCGUAAAGCGCACGCAGGCGGUUUGUUAAGUCAGAUGUGAAAUCCCCGGGCUCAACCUGGGAACUGCAUUUGAAACUGGCAAGCUAGAGUCUCGUAGAGGGGGUAGAAUUCCAGGUGUAGCGGUGAAAUGCGUAGAGAUCUGGAGGAAUACCGGUGGCGAAGGCGGCCCCCUGGACGAAGACUGACGCUCAGGUGCGAAAGCGU